UGUAGUGUUUUGGUCCCUCUGAUUUGCUAUUUUAUCAAAAAUUCGCGUCCGGACGUCUGACUUGGUCCGAAAACCUGGUUUUACCCUUUGAAUAGGGUGAUAACAUUGUUUGUAAUAUUUCAGAAGUUGGCAGAAAAAGAAAAUAAAAAUAGAAAAAUAAAAUAGAAAAGAAAAAAAAUGAACGAAACAAAUAGAAGGAUGUCAAUACAUACUCCUUCUGAAAAA
rnacentral:lncRNA from 1 species